GAUGAACGCUGGCGGCGUGCUUAACACAUGCAAGUCGAACGGAAAGGCUCCUGCUUGCAGGGGUACUCGAGUGGCGAACGGGUGAGUAACACGUGGGUGAUCUGCCCAGCACUUCGGGAUAAGCCUGGGAAACUGGGUCUAAUACCGGAUAGGACGAUGGUUUGGAUGCCAUUGUGGAAAGGUUUUUCGGUGUGGGAUGAGCUCGCGGCCUAUCAGCUUGUUGGUGGGGUAAUGGCCUACCAAGGCGUCGACGGGUAGCCGGCCUGAGAGGGUGUACGGCCACAUUGGGACUGAGAUACGGCCCAGACUCCUACGGGAGGCAGCAGUGGGGAAUAUUGCACAAUGGGCGCAAGCCUGAUGCAGCGACGCCGCGUGGGGGAUGACGGCCUUCGGGUUGUAAACUCCUUUCGCUAGGGACGAAGCGCAAGUGACGGUACCUGGAGAAGAAGCACCGGCUAACUACGUG
rnacentral:rRNA from 1 species